GGCAAGAUGGCCGAGCGGUCCAAGGCGUGCGGUAGGGUGAUAAGUCUUGAUUUCUAUGCAAGUGUUAAUCAUUCUAUAUUAGACUCAAGCGUUAAGCUUCCUAUUAGUGAUAUUAGGUUAUUCUCAUGGGUAUGCUUACUUUAAGUCUCUUGGUAUCUAUUAAAUUAACAUUACAAGGCUUUUGCCCGCGGGGGUUCGAAUCCCUCUCUUGUCA